rnacentral:lncRNA from 10 species
CAGGAGCAGGAUCCAAACACUUUUGUUCACUCCAUCCUGGGCUGCACCUUUACUAUUCACCCAAGUUCAGUUAGAUACAACACUCACAUUGUACAAGUUAUAUGGAACAGGAUUAUUACUUACAGAUAGGUGGCAAGGGACAACAGAAGCCCAGGAUCCACAGUGAGCUGGUCAGCCGAGGCUCUGGAGAGCUGUCGGGGGUGGAUGGAGUCCUGACUGAACAUGCCACACUUGGACUGCAGCUUAGGGAUCCCAAAAGGCAACCCACCUUGAGUUAACUCAGGGGACAUAUGAUGUUUCCUUUCCUGCCCAAUUUAUCUGGUUAAAACGUCUGAUACACUGUUGAAUAGAAGAGGCAAGGGCACAUGUUCAUGUCUUGUUCCUGAUAUUGGGAGAAAGCAUCCCGUUUUUCACCACUCUGGCCAGGACAGCCUAUCUGUGCAGGAGGCAUUGCUGGCACCCCGUGGGGACUGAGGACCAAGGAGGAGCUGCUCCCCCACACACGGUUCGUACUUCUGCUCUGUGAAGAGAGACAACUGUGCCCUGUCACCUUCACUGAACUAUGAGGUGUGUCCUGAUGCUGUGCAUGACAUCUUGGGUUUGCAGAACUGUUCACUCUCUCCCUGGAUUUAAAAUGAGUUCAAAUUAUAAGACCUUCAUUUUAUUGGUAAUAUAUUAAAAUUUGGGGGAAAGAACUAGUUUUAAAACUUUCUAUUAAGCCUAAAGUAGUGGCAAAUUUCAUAAUUAGAUUGCACAAUAUUGGAUAGCUUAAAAAUUUCAAAAUUGCCAAUUUGUUACUUGUCUGUAUUUGAUGUAUACUGUAAAAUACAAAAUGCACUUUAUGUUUUCCAUCGUGCAACAGUGAAACACUGGAGAUUCAUUCAAUCAUAUAACGGGUAUUUAUUGAAUGUCCAUGAUACGUCAGGCAACUUGGAUUGCUAAGAUAAAUAAGAUGUUUAAGUAGUGUCAUUUAGUGUUACAGAUAUGAUGACAGAAGUAUGUGCUGUAUAUAUUAAUGCUUCUGAAGCAAAGUGUGGGCAGGCAGAUUACUUUAUAAAAAGAAAUAAAAGUCAUCUCAAUUAGAAGGAAAGAAGUAAAACUAGCUCUAUUUGCACUUGAAAUUAUCUUUCACAUAUAAGAUCCUAAAGCAACCAGAAAGAAGCCAUUAGAAUGAAGAGCUGGUAAGUUUAGCAAGGGUUUGGUAUACUCAGUCAAUAUACAAAAAUCAAUCUGCCUUUAUGCACUAGCAAUGAAACAAUCCAAAAUUUAAAUGAAAACAAUUCCAUUUACAACAAUAGCAUCCAAAAUGAAAUGCUUAAGAACACAUUUAGCAAAAGAAGUGCAAGACUUCUACACUGAAAACUAAAAAACAUCGUUAUGUGUGAAGGGGAGGGAAGAAAGGAGGCUAGAGGAUAACUUAAGAAUUAAGGGCAUCUUAUUUUGGGUUGAUAAUGUUGAGGAUGCUUAUGACUGAAAGGGAGUUAUUCAUUCUUCAGUGAUUUCUUAAUUUGAAAUAUGGAACCAAUGUUUCUGCAUAACAUAAACAUACAAAUGAAUUAAAGUGAAAAUUCUAAGGUUCCCAUUAUUGCUAUGCUUAUGUUUAUGAGAGAAUUUUAAGAUUUUAUCAAGUUCCCAAAGUACUCGAAAAAGAAAAAAAAAUCAUGGUGGGUAUUAUAUAGCUUAAACAUUCCAGUUUGCCCAGUCUUGAUAAAAAUCACUUAAAAAAACAGAAAAAAAUUGAAUUUUUUUAGGUUUGAUUUGGUUGUUGUCAUUUCAAAAUCAAGGUUCCCAAUCAGCUUUCUGAUUGCUAUCUGAUAAAGGUAAUUAAAAAUAGAUACAUACAGCACAUUAGAGCAUUACUGCUUAUGAAAGGAUUCCAAAUAAAGUGUUCAAAUACAGGGGUUAUCUUAGUCUAGAGAUGUUAAUAUUUUAUAAUAUCAAGCUCCAUGGUACAUAUAAUUCACUUUAUAAGCUAUUAAAAAGAUAUAACACUUUAUAUGUUUUAUAAAUGAUUUUCCCCAAGCCCAGAUCACUUACAGUAAUAAAUACAUAAAUACACAAACAUGUGUAUAUAUAUAUAUACACACACACACACAUACACACACACGCACACAUACAUAGUAAAAAGCUUUCUGAUUUUCCCUAGGAUUAAUACUUUCUGAAGAGCCAAAUUUCUCAAAAGGCACAAGAAUUUACCACUUCAAGCUCAAAAACCUAAAAAUAAAAUUAGCAAACAAAUCACCAUGCUUUAUUUUGUGGUAAAUUUUUCAAAAAUGUAUUUCAUAUCAUUCAGACUUCUUAAACCAAAGAAAAGUUUAAAAUAUUUUGUCAUUAUAAACAUUAUUAUGUUUUGAUUUUAAACAUUGAAAAAUUUCAAAUAUUAUUAGAAUUAAGUGACAAAAAGUCCACAUAGGACCAGACCAAGCUCUUGUAGCCCUUUUUAAUAAAGCAUAUGAUUUCGAUUUUUCUUAUUUUUUCAUACUUUCUUAUUUCUCAGUCUAUUUCUAAGAGGUAAGCUGGCUGUAGGGGUGAGGGGCGAGUGUAUGCACUGUAUAGCUAGCAGGCAUUGCAAAAACCUGGCAUAAUUUCUGGACAAUGAGAGUGUCAUGCCUUUGCGAUGUGCAGCGUAAGUAGAGCGGAUGCCUAUGACGGCCCUUCCCAUGGCCUGGGCAUCAGAACUGCUUCAGAGUCCAAGGAGGGGUCCUAGGUCACCCGUUAUUGUGUGUGGAGGAUUGUCCUCAAAAACACUUUUUUCUCCCUUUUAAAUAAAAUUGAUAUCUUAGAAUUGUUACUAUAUAGGGAGACACAACUAUACCAAAUAGUUGUCAUCUGCUUUUUGACUAUGUGAGCAUUGAAUAAGUAUAAAAACAUUUCAGAAUAAAAGCAAAUGUAAAACAGCCUGGGGAAUACCUUAAAUUUGGAAUGAAAACCCGGCAGCUAUUUGCAGGCGUAUCAAUAUGGAAGAUAACUUGAAAUUAAAUUGUUCUCAACAAAUAACACAGAGCUUUAGGUGCAAUUGACUCUUAAACGUAUUUGAAUGAACUUGGAGAUCAUAUGCUAUAUCAAGGGGCAACUCUAAGAUAAUCAAUAGAAGUUUUAAAAGAUGGAGAUUUUUGUUCAACAAAAGAAGAAAAUUCUAAUGAUGAAAGUUUUCAUUGUAAUAGACCCCUCGGGAGCUGGGCACUGUUCUAAUGGUCUUGCAGCAUUAAUUUGAUCUCAAUCCCCAUGGGCAAGACCUCAGUACAUGUCUAUAUCAAAGCGAUAGCUAGAGGAAGAAGAAGGGGAAAUAAGGUAGGGAGAGAAUGGGCAGAGGAACAGGAGAAAUACCUUCAGGAAUGGUGAAACUGAGUCACAGAAAGGUUAAAGCAAUCACAUGGGUGGAAAGUCAUAGGGUCAGGGUUUGAACCUAGGAAGGCUGAAUCCAAAGCCCACAAUCUCAACCUAUAAGCUAUGAUGCCACCCAACUACGAGUUUAUACUGAAUAUUCUAAAACAAACUCUCACGUUGUAAACCCAGGUAUGGGAAAUAUUUACCAAAACUGGCCCAAUUUUCAAAAAUAAACAAGUUUUUUCUCCUGCAGCUUACAGUUCACAGGACGUGGCCUCCUUUAUGCAUAGCCCAGGAGGUGCACUGGGGUUAGGAUCAGCAUGCCCUGGGCAGUUCCAUGUGAUCACAGUGCUGCCUUGCUUUCUGGCAGCCUCCUUCUGGCUCUGCUUUGGGUUUGUAAUCAGGAGGGGCUACAUUAAACCAUAUAAAAAUAAAGCCUACAGCUGUUAUGCUCAUGGGUGAUGACUGGUAAUGAGACCUAGAAAACCCUCUAGCAAGGCUGCCUUCCAUAUAGUGGGAAAUAAUUUUUUUAUAUAAAGCACUUAGCCUAAAGUGUCUCUGUGUGUGUGUGUUUCACAUCCAUUUGUUCAUGCACCCAUUAUUUCUUUUGCUUUCCAAAUAAGGACAUUUGCAUAUGUGACCCCCUUUUUCUUGGAAGGCUCUUCUUCAACAUUUCUCCUUUUCUUUAGUUUUCUUCUUAAGCGGCACCUAGAGUGAGAGGCCUUCCCUCUCUAUCAUUCUCUCACACUUUUUCUUGUUUGUUUCUUUAUUGAGUUGAUUUUUUUUUUUAGGCUUCUGUUUGCUUCUUUUCAUCUCUCUCCCCAUAAGAAUGGAAGUUCCAGGAGGCUAGGGUCCACUCUGUCUUGUUUCCAUUGUAUGCCCAGCACCUGACUCACAGUCUGGUACACUGUACAGCAGGGGUCCCCAGCCCCCAUGCAGUGGAUGGGUGCCAGUCUGCAGCCUUGUUAAGAAAGGAGCUACACAGCAGGAGGUACUGCCUGAGCUCCACCUCCUGUCAGAUCAGCGGGGGCAUUAGAUUCUCCUAGGAGUGCAAACGCUGCAGUGAACUGUGCAUGUGAGGGAUGUAGGCUGAGCACUCCUUAUGAGAAUCGAACUAAUGCCUGAUGAUCUGAGGUGGAACAGUUUCAUCCAGGAACCAACCCCCACCACAUCGGUCAAAAAACUGUCUUCCAUGCAACUAGUCCCUGGAGCCAAAAAGACUGGGGACUGCUGCUGCAGAGGAUAAAUACAUGCUUGUAAAUGGAUUUAAAAAGUUUAUUGGAUACUGCUACACAUCAAUUGGCAAAGAAAGAAAUUAAAAGGAUGGUUCCUUCUCUGUGAAAACUUACAGUGUAAUUCUAAGUCAAUUUACAAUGCCAUAUGACAGUGAUGUGUGAUAUGUACCGGAAACAAAAUGGACAAUGUUUGACAAACAUUAUAUUUAUCUGGGGGAGUCAGAGAAAAUAACCUGAGUGAUGCCCCACUUCGGAGGAUGCUUCUUUGAGUAAUCUCUGAGGCAUUUUCCAUGGCCAAAAUGUAAAGCACUGAUAGAGAGAAAUCAUUUCUGCCUGUCUGGAAGACACAAGUGGCUUUGUCUUACUGCAUGCCCAUGCAUCCAUGGAUCUAUUAACAGCUUCUGAGGUGUAGCCAGAGACAUAAUAACACACAACCCAACAAACAAAAACACAUGACAGGGGCUCUAUGUAUAAAUUUAUAUUCACCAGAUUUGCAGAAAGAAAAACUGAGAAUUCUCUGCAAUUAAUAUAAAGCCCAGGGCCAAAGACCUGACCAUGUUAAUGCACAUAACUUUGGAAAAUAGACGAGGUGUGAUAGACUCUUCUAAGAGUUUUAGUAAGUCCCAAAUAGGAUAAGGCAACAAUGAGUACCUCACUGCAUACUUUUAGUAGGUUACAGCAUGCAGAUAGUGAUACAUUUAACUAAGUAACUAUAUAUAGUUCAUACUAUGGGCUUAAUCAUUUUAGAAGAAUCUUAUUUUAAAAUUUUCUGCAAUUUGAGCAAUGAAGUGCAGGUUGGGUGGUGCAGUUGGAUGAGCUGCUCCCUACAAAUGGGCUUGGAAAGGUCAGCACCUAUCUGGUGGGAAAUCAUAUUUUUCCUGACUAUUUGAGACAGUCAGGGUGGGGGCCAGUUGGGCUGUAGAAGAUUGUCUCCCUUCAAUGUCUGUGAAAGAGCUUCUAAGGAGAGUGAGAAGCCUUUGGCAUGCAGCAAAAUCUUUACAUUGGAGAGAACAUAGAGUCAUUGGAAAUUAAAAGCCACUUCUAGAACACUAGGAACAAGCAAAAUAGAACUGCUGAGUUGCAGAUUUUUGUUUUUAAGUUGAGGAUAUCUGAAAAUUUUUGAGGUAAGCUAAACACUCUCUGGCCUUCCGACUUCCAUCUUCCCACGGCAGCCAAUCAGACCUCAGAGUGCCCUGUGAGCUUCUGUAAGCUGCUAAGAAACCACCUAGGAGCUGACCACUUCCUCAUCCAAAUAAGCCUGCUUGCUCUUUUCAUCUUCCUAGAUACUUAGCCUAUUUUGCUUAUUAAACAAAUAGAGAAUAUGAUGAUACCAUGAUUCUGAUUCCACAAGCCACAUGUAAAACCUACUAAUCUCAAAUUUAUACUUGUUAACACUGUGCAUGCCCCAGCAUUGUGCUAAGGUGUAUUUACAAAUUCGCUGAUCUGGAGGGAAUUAAAUACACUGAAGUAGGAUCUAAGUGCUAAUAAUAUAACUCAGGAGAAGAUUUAUACUGCACCAAAGAAACAACUGGAGCCCAAUGCUGGGUAGGAACUAUGUCACAGUCAAAGAUGCAAAGAGCAGCUGAACAUAAGGAGGGGCUCCGGCUUAUAAGCUUCCCUCUCAGGGCUCUGUCCAGGCACUAACCAUGAGCAAGAUGUGGAUCAUCCUCCCCUGGGUUUCACACCAGUGUGUGCUGGCACCACCCUAUUUUUCAUUCUUUAUUCUCUUUACUCCCUACAUUUAUUCCAUGAAAAACGGAGACGAUUUAUUGUUCAAUAUGUUUUCCUGUGUGAUCCUAUUGUGAAACUUUUGCCAUUGCAUGUUUGUUGUGUUUUAUGUGUGACAUUUCAUGCCUUCAAGUGCCCUAUGACAUAAACAGAAAGAAUACAUUCAAUUUUUUAUAAAAGAAAUCAGGCUCAGAUGGUUCCUCUGGGUUCUGCCCAGUCCACACAGCUUGUAAGUAACCAAGAUGGGUGAGGACCCAGAGCUUCUCAUGUCCGUUCCAGCCAUCCACAUGGACCUGCCUCCUACCCUCAACUUGAGUAAUUAUCUAUUUUCUUUAAGACAUAAAUCAGUUUUCAAAGGGAAUGCUUCCAGAUUUUGCCCAUUGAGUAUGAUAUUGGCUGAGGGUUUGUCAUAAAUAGCUCUUAUUAUUUUGAGAUACAUCUCAUCAAUACCUAAUUUAUUGAGAGUUUUUAGCAUGAAGGGCUGUUGAAUUUUGUUGAAGGCCUUUUCUGCAUCUGUUGAGAUAAUCAUGUGGUUUUUGUCUUUGGUUCUAUAUGAUGGAUUACGUUUAUUGAUUUGCAUAUGUAGAACCAGUCUUGCAUCCCAGGGAUAAAGCCCACUUGAUCAUAGUGGAUAAGCUUUUUGAUGUGCUGCUGGAUUUGGUUUGCCAGUAUUUUACUGAGGAUUUUUGCAUUGAUAUUCAU